rnacentral:rRNA from 1 species
UGAGGAAUAUUGGUCAAUGGGCGAGAGCCUGAACCAGCCAAAUCGCGUGAAGGAAGACUGCCUUAUGGGUUGUAAACUUCUUUUAUACAGGAAUAAAAAAGGGGACGUGUCCCUUAUUGCAUGUACUGUAUGAAUAAGCAUCGGCUAACUCCGUGCCAGCAGCCGCGGUAAUAUGGAGGAUGCGAGCGUUAUCCGGAUUUAUUGGGUUUAAAGGGUGCGCAGGCGGGCUUUUAAGUCAGCGGUGAAAUCUCGGGGCUUAACUCCGAAACUGCCGUUGAAACUGGGAGUCUUGAGUAUGGAUGAAGUAGGCGGAAUUCGUUGUGUAGCGGUGACAUGCUUAGAUAUAACGAGGAACUCCGAUUGCGUAGGCAGCUUACUAAGCCAUAACUGACGCUCAAGCACGAAAGCGUGGGGAUCAAAACAGGAUUAGAUACCCCUGGUAGUCCACGCCGUAAACGAUGAUUACUAGUUGUAUGCGAUAUACCGUAUGUGACUAAGCGAAAAGCGAUAAGUAAUCCACCUGGGGAGUACGCCGGCAACGGUGAAACUCAAAUGAAUUGACGGGGUCAUAGCUG